rnacentral:other from 1 species
GUUUCCACUGCUGGUCCAAGGACACAAGGUUUUGAAUUCCUAGAGAAUUACCUUUAUGAGAAGCUGGAACUAAUUUCUUUAAAUUUCAUCUCUUAGUUUUCCAUCUUGUUGCAUUUCAGAGGUGCAUCAAGAAACU